UGUUUGUACUUCACUUCUUAAGGAUAAUGAGUACAAUAAGCAUCAUACAUGCAAAGUAGUUAUUGCAUUUUGAUGCUGUUAUUUUAUAAUAAAGAUCAAAUCAUAGGAUAUUAAAGUAUCAAAGAUGUCAUACUCUAAAAAAUAUAUUAAAUCAUUGAAAGAAGAUGAGUUUUGCGAUAUCUGCGAACGUUGUUCAAAAUGUGGAAUAAUAAUACAAGCAAAUCAUACAUGUAAUACAUGGAAUGGCAAUAAUCAGAGUUAUAACUUAAAAUCACGAAAAAAAGAUAAAAUAAAGAAUAACUAUU